rnacentral:rRNA from 1 species
UACGUAGGGGGCAAGCGUUGUCCGGAUUUAUUGGGCGUAAAGAGCGUGUAGGCGGCCUGAAAGGUCAGCUGUGAAAACUCGAGGCUCAACCUCGAGACGUCGGUUGAAACCAUCUGGCUAGAGUCCGGAAAAGGAGUGUGGAAUUCCCGGUGUAGCGGUGAAAUGCGCAGAUAUCGGGAAGAACACCCGUGGCGAAGGCGGCACUCUGGGACGGUACUGACGCUGAGACGCGAAAGCGUGGGGAGCGAACAGG